rnacentral:rRNA from 1 species
UUGCACGCUGGCGGCAGGCCUAACACAUGCAAGUCGAACGGUAACAGGAAACAGCUUGCUGUUUCGCUGACGAGUGGCGGACGGGUGAGUAAUGUCUGGGAAACUGCCUGAUGGAGGGGGAUAACUACUGGAAACGGUAGCUAAUACCGCAUAACGUCGCAAGACCAAAGAGGGGGACCCUCGGGCCUCUUGCCAUCGGAUGUGCCCAGAUGGGAUUAGCUUGUUGGUGGGGUAACGGCUCACCAAGGCGACGAUCCCUAGCUGGUCUGAGAGGAUGACCAGCCACACUGGAACUGAGACACGGUCCAGACUCCUACGGGAGGCAGCAGUGGGGAAUAUUGCACAGUGGGCGCAAGCCUGAUGCAGCCAUGCCGCGUGUAUGAAGAAGGCCUUCGGGUUGUAAAGUACUUUCAGCGGGGAGGAAGGGAGUAAAGUUAAUACCUUUGCUCAUUGACGUUACCCGCAGAAGAAGCACCGGCUAACUCCGUG